rnacentral:rRNA from 1 species
AUUGAACGCUGGCGGCAUGCCUUACACAUGCAAGUCGAACGGUAACGGGCCUUCGGGUGCCGACGAGUGGCGAACGGGGUGAGUAAUGCAUCGGAACGUACCUUUCAGUGGGGGAUAACGUAGCGAAAGUUACGCUAAUACCGCAUAUUCUGUGAGCAGGAAAGCAGGGGAUCGCAAGACCUUGCGCUGAUUGAGCGGCCGAUGUCAGAUUAGCUAGUUGGUGAGGUGAAGGCUCACCAAGGCGACGAUCUGUAGCGGGUCCGAGAGGAUGAUCCGCCACACUGGAACUGAGACACGGUCCAGACUCCUACGGGAGGCAGC